UACGGAGGGGGCUAGCGUUGUUCGGAAUUACUGGGCGUAAAGCGCACGUAGGCGGCUUUGUAAGUUAGAGGUGAAAGCCCGGAGCUCAACUCCGGAACUGCCUUUAAGACUGCAUCGCUUGAAUCCAGGAGAGGUGAGUGGAAUUCCGAGUGUAGAGGUGAAAUUCGUAGAUAUUCGGAAGAACACCAGUGGCGAAGGCGGCUCACUGGACUGGU
rnacentral:rRNA from 1 species